AUCGGAAGUGAUGAUAAAUGUACAAUCCCAGCUCAUUAUGAGACCUUUUCCAAGGUCUGGGAAUGGAAUUAUCAACGUUUGUCUGAUCCCAAU